UACAGAGGUGGCAAGCGUUGUUCGGAAUUACUGGGCGUAAAGGGCGCGUAGGCGGCCUUGUCAGUCAGACGUGAAAUCCCCAGGCUUAACCUGGGAACUGCGUCUGAUACUACAAGGCUGGAGUGCGGGAGAGGGAUGUGGAAUUCCAGGUGUAGCGGUGAAAUGCGUAGAUAUUGGGAGGAACACCAGUGGCGAAGGCGGCCCACUGGACCGGAACUGACCGCUGAGGCGCGAAAGCGUGGGGAGCAAACA
rnacentral:rRNA from 1 species